CACUGAGCUCAGUCUUUUGUCCUCCCGAGGCCAUCAGCUGAUUGGAUGGGGUCCACCCGCACUGGGUGAGGCUGAUCUUCCUUAGUGAUCUGAAAGCCUGUGCCUUCUGGACAUAUCUGCCCAGGCAUAAUGCUUUCUAGCUGUCUGAGUGUGAAUGUCCCUUAGUCGAGUCAAGAUGACACCUAACAUUAACCCCGAAACCUGUGUCAUAUCGAUUCAGCUGCACGAUAUCCUGUGAAGUGGUCAGUGCUAUCCCACACAGAUGCCAGGAACCGAGCCCCACGCUGCGUGCGCUACAGCUUGCAUCUGAGUGUUCCCAAGAGCUCAUGGGAUGAAGGCUUGGUCCCCAGCGCAGCCGUGUCCAAAGGGUAGAUUUAUUAGCACAAAUCUGUCAUGCAAAUGAUGAUUGACGAGGGCACCGUCGUUCCGAGAACACACAUUGAUUUGGGGAGCUCACAUUCCUGCUGCAGAGAUCUGUCAUGGAGCCUCCGAUGAUCUGACUCGAGUUAGGCUGAGUUCUUCCCUGGCCACAGACCCCACCUUCUGAGACUUCCUGCUGCUGGGUUCCUUUGCCUGGGUUCUGUCUGCCAGUCCAGACUUUCGGUUCCAUUGUUGCUAACAGCAUCUUGAUUUUUUCCACCGUCUGCUGAGCUCCGGGAAGCGCGAGGUUUGCCUUGGUAGCCAGCGUUGGCAGGAGAUGCUCCCGGUCUUCUUCCACUUCCUGGUUCUGUUCUGAUUCCCAGGAGAAAUGAAGCCUGUCCAGAUGACUCCGCAUUGCUCACUGUGCACAAGCGAGGGAACGUGAAGGGACACAGGAGGGGAGGACCCUCCUCAGGGCCUUCCCCUGGUGACUGUGGCAGGUGCUACUUCCAUUCCACCAAGUCCACAAGAAAGCCUUUUGCAAAAGGAACACAGUGAGGGAGUACGAGCCGUGCCUCCAUCAACACGAGCCAGAAAGAAGAGCAUCAAGCAGGAAGCAAACAGAAUCUUGCAAUUAUAUUUAAUUGCAAAAGACACGGAGGCCUUGCACUUUAGAACAUCGAUAAAAGGAGCUUUGCUUUGUUUUCUGAGCUCAGCCAAGCUAAACGUGUAGUUCGUCUUUGCAUGUGCUGCUGCACCUUGGAGAACUCAGCACAGCACCACUUCGCCCUGCCUGGUGCCUUCUGGUGGAGCCUGAGUGGGCAUGAGAAAGACAACAGCCCCUGUGACCCAGGCGAGUGUGCUGUGGCCUCAGUGCUCCACCACUUCAAAACCGCGAGUCUCCAGAUGAGAAGCCGCACACUCCCUCUCUUGGGUUCAGUUGUCUCAACACAGAAAAAUCUAAAGCAACAAUGAAGAGUUGUUCUUGAUAUUUUUCAGAUGAAUAUUCUGGAUCUGAUUCAUGGGUCCAGAGGGGCCCUCUCCCUCUCCUUCCUCUUCCAGAUCAUGCACACGACCGAGGCUUGCCACUCCGCGUUCCGUCCCUUUUGGUCCUUGGGCUUUUGCACAGAGAUUGGAGAUAGUUCUGCAGGAGCUUUAACCAAGCUCCAGUCAAAACCAACCCGAGCGCUAGGUCUGGGACCCCCCAACGGGGCUCUGCCACCUCUCUCCCGAGCCGGGGGAGGGAGGGAGCUGUGAGUGGUGGAAGGCACCUUCUCCUCCCAGAGCUCCCUCCACCACUCCCUCCGUGUGCGUGGCCAAGACGUGGGAGGACGGUCCAGGAGGCCUUGGGGCCUGCGGGGUGGAGGAGUGAGUGCCACAGACAACUGGGCAACAGACCCGGAGGCUGGAGCUCGUCACGUAGAUGAGGGCACAGGGGAAGAAAGGCUCAAACAGAGGGAGGAUGGAGGGAAGAGUCCCAAGGCCCAGGGGCUGAGUCUGAGGGGUGCUGCAGAUGCUGAGGGGCAGGAGGCGCUCAGGUGGGGAGGAAGGGUGCAAGCGAGACAGGCAAAAACAUAAACAGUGGAUAAGAACGUGCGAGAAAGGAUCCAGGAGGGAGAGAAAAGCACAGAAGUGAAGCCUCUCGUACCCCCUUAGAGGGGACGGGGAAGAGGAGAACCAGAGGAGCGCCCCGAGAAAUGCCCAAGGAGGAAGUUCUGGGGGCAGGGCCACCUACAGGUGCACAGGAGGCAGAGAAGCCAGGGUGUGGCACUGCCCGGGAGGAGUGGGGGUGGAGGAGCACAGAGAGAGGGCGGGGCUGCUGGGCUGUGCACCUGACCAGGUGGGACGGGGAAGGCAAGGACAAAGGGCCAUGACACCAGGGCCUGCCGUGGGAAGAGGUGAGGUCAGUCUCCGCCAGCCUCCGUCCUCCUGGACAAGGGUUUUUGGGUAGCUCUGUUUUUCUUCUUGAGAACAAUGAUUUUUUUUUGUUGUUGUUGUUUUUCAGGAAAAUUUUUUCUUUGGAUGAUAUGUGAGUGAACCUGAGUGAGUAGAUAGAGGAAUGAAAAGAAGAGCGUUCUGUUUCUCUUCACCCUUUUUUGAAUCAGAAUGUCCCUCUGCAUUUUCCCAGAAUAGGACAUCCAGAUGCCUGUUCUCAAGAAAAAAUCAGGGAGUGGACCAGAGGCCCCCGUUUUUUUCUGCACUUUCAGCACGGUUGAGCGACUCUUGCCUGCAGUUUUUAGAUCAGAGAACCCAAAUUUCUCUUUCCAGAAUCACUAUUCACUCAGAACAGUUAUAGGAAUAAUGACAGCAACGGUGAAAUGUACACCAGUGCAAAUCUUCUCUCGCUAUGGUAAUGGCUUGGUGGAUAAUAAAUGCUUUCUGCAAUUAUGUCAACUAGUGCAGAGCCUCCAUCUUACCGCAGGCAUUAGGCAGCUUCCCCAGCACCCAGCACGGGAGUGUCCAGUUACCUCCCAGAGCAGUCUCUGUAAACGGGGAUCUCUUCACUUCUGAAAGCAGUGCAGGGCUGGAGUCGGGGCUCGGUGAUAGAGCACCGCCUAGCAUACAGAAGGCAGUGGGCUCAAUCCUCAGCCCCACAUAAAAAGUAAAU